rnacentral:lncRNA from 12 species
GCCACCUGGGCUGCUCAAGGACUGCUUUACUUUUAGGUGUGCACGUGUGUGUGGAGGGAGAACUCAUUGUAAGGAAUUGUCUCAUGCAGUCGUGGAAGUUGGUAAGUACAAAAGCUGCAGGGUAGACAGGCUGGCUGUAGGCCUGGCAUGAGCUGAU